rnacentral:misc_RNA from 1 species
GAUGAAGAACGCAGCGAAAUGCGAUAAGUAGUGUGAAUUGCAGAAUUCAGUGAAUCAUCGAAUCUUUGAACGCACAUUGCGCCCUUUGGUAUUCCUUAUGGCAUGCCUGUUCGAGCGUCAUUUAAACCUUCAAGCUCAGCUUGGUGUUGGGUGACUGUCCGCUUCACCGCGGACUCGCCUCAAAAUUAUUGGCGGCCGGUACAUUGGCUUCGAGCGCAGCAGAAACGCGAACUCGGGCCCGUCGUAUUGGCUCCCAGAAGCUAUCUUCACAAUUUUGACCUCGGAUCAGGUAGGGAUACCCGCUGAACUUAAGCAUAUCAAUAAGCGGAGGA